ensembl:lncRNA
GGCUGGUGCUUUGUGGUUCCCAUGCUGAGUUAAUUGUAGAACUUUGUAUCACUGUGUCUGUCAGGGUCCCUGUGCCUACCCGGUCGGCUCGGUAUGGCUACAUAUGUUUUGUAUUCUUUGAUUUUUUUUUUUUUUUUUUUUUUUUUUUUUGCUGCUCUCUCCCUUCCCCUCUUUCCCUCCUCCGUCUGCCUGGGCGGAGCUCACCUGUGGGCUCCUGCCCUUGGCCCACGCACCUGUGGCUCAUCACGAGUGAUCCAGCUCCUUUAUAAGAUGGCAGCCCUGUGUUUCUCGUCGCUGGACCGUUGCCAACCCUCAUUCCCUGGACCUACCCCUGUGUUACCCGAGUGAGUGGAGUGUGAAGAGGAGUGGACGGUGUGUGUGUGUGCGCAUCACUCCUCAUUGCACAAGCGUGUGCAUGUGUAUGUGUGUGGAUCACUUCUCAGUGAAUCAGCAUUUCGAUUUAGGUAUGUCUGUCAUUUCUCACUCAAUCAACGAGGGCACAUGUGUUCAGGUGUGUGUUUCACGUCAAGCUGAAUCAGUGUGUUUGUGUUCAUCACUUUCCUGUUCUGGUGUUUUGGCUAAACCACGGCCUGAAGCGUGCCCUGGGGUCCUGCCCUCCUCCUCUUCAGUCUGUAUGCAACCAUUGCUGCUGUUCAAAGUUUAGUCCAUCCUGGUUCUGGCGCCCAUUGGGGCAGUCCUUUCUCCAGUGUCCAUGGUCACUGCAGGUGAAACCUGCAUCUUCUUCUGUGUUUUGUCCGUUCUGAGGUGCCUUUUGACCUCAGUUGCUCCUCCUGUCUCUGACACGCACUUAUUUGCUGCCCGAUCAUCCGUGUUGGUCCAUCACUGCCCUGCACAGUGUUAAUGCAGAGUUAUCAAGGUCAGCAUUCUGUUGCUCGGCCUCACUUUUCAUUCGGGCUUAUUGGGCGUCUCGUCACAGCUCUGUCAGCUGAAGCUGUCUGGGAAAUUUCCCCCGUGUAGUGAAACGGGCCUUGGGUUUAGCGUUCUCCGUCUCUGCUGCAUGAGAUCCUUUCCUGCAGCACUGUUGACAUUUUCAGGUCGUUGUUGUGGGUCCAGCUGCUGCAGCAUUUGGUCAGGGUCAAGAGAAUUUUCCUUCCUUCAGUAACUCACUAGUGUUGUUCAAUCAGCAGAAAACAUCUCACAAUUUGACUCUUAACCACUAAAUUUAUUGUUUCCUCACUGGUUGGUCAUACCAGUCUUUCUUUGCUGAGUGUAAGCUGCUCUUCAUUGCAUGUGUGUGCAUUUGUAGGCAGGUUAAUUUUAUGUGUGUUCAGUGGAGCUGCAGAUCCAGCAAAGUCUCUCUCUGCCUUAGCUUUUUUUUUUUUUUUUUUCAAACAAGGAGUUUCCUUAAAAGCUGCCUUUUCUCUCACAUUUCUCUGCUUGUGUGUGUUUUUGUUUCACCGUUUAUUGCAAUGCUCUGGACGCCUUCCCAACCUCCACAAGUCCAUUGGCCCCAAAUUUCAACCCAAUUUUAUGUGUUACAGCUUCUCUUAAUUUCUCCUCUUCCCUCCUCACUGCUGUCGGUUCCACAGCUGCUGAUUCUUGCUGAUUGUGGUUCCCAUUACUAUCAUUUAGCUUCGGCCGCUGUGCUUGUGGUGGGCGGUUGGUCCAGGGCCGUAGCCACCUGUAUUAACACACUAAGAGAUCUAUUUGGGGCAGGGAUAGCUCAGUAGGUAAAGUGGUCACCCCAUGAUCGGAAGGUCGGCGGUUCGAAUCCACUUAACGGCUACCCUGAGGUACCCCUGAGCAAGGUACCGUCCCUACACACUGCUCCCCGGGCGCCUGCUUAGUGGGCUGCCCACUGCUUCACUGAGUGAAUGGG